rnacentral:misc_RNA from 1 species
UCCGGCUUGUCACCGGCAGUUUCUUCAGAGUGCCCGGCCGAACCGAUGGCAACUGAAGAUGGGGGUUGCGCUCGUUGCGGGACUUAACCCAACGCCUCACGGCACGAGCUGACGACAGCCAUGCAGCACCUGUGCAGCGGUCCCGAAGGAAGAUGCCAUCUCUGGCACUGUCCACUGCAUGUCAAGCCUGGGUAAGGUUCUUCGCGUUGCAUCGAAUUAAACCACAUGCUCCGCCGCUUGUGCGGGCACCCGUCAAUUCCUUUGAGUUUUAGCCUUGCGGCCGUACUCCCCAGGCGGGGCGCUUAAUGCGUUAGCUGCGGCACGGAACCCGUGGAAUGGAUCCCACACCUAGCGCCCAACGUUUACGGCGUGGACUAC